rnacentral:rRNA from 1 species
CGCGGUAAUUUGACCGUGCGAAGGUAGCAUAGUCAGUAGUCUUUUAAUUGGAGGCUUGUAUGAAAGGUUGGACGAGGGAUAAGCUGUCUCCUUUAUGUGGUUUGAAUUUAACUUUUGAGUGAAAAGGCUCGAAUUUUUUAGGGGGACGAUAAGACCCUAUAAAACUUAAUAUGAAUUUGGCUUGAUUUGUGAUUUUGGUGAAAAGUAGUUUUGUUGAGUUCAUAUUUCGUUGGGGAGAUGUAGAUAUAAUAGGUAACUGUCUGUUUAAUUUAAUAAUUGUAAUUAGUUUGUGAUCCUUCUUUGUGGAUUAAAAGAAUAAGUUACUUUAGGGAUAACAGCGUGAUUUUCCUUGAGAGUUCUUAUCGACAGGAGUAGUUGCGACCUCGAUGUUGAAUUAAAAUUUUAGCUAGGUGUAGCCGUUUAGCUGGUGGGUCUGUUCG